AUAGUUUGAGUGUGUCACUUAAAGGAUCUGCGUGGUAGAUAUAUAUUUUGUUUCGAAAGGUCACUAAUACCGCAUACGUCCUACGGGAGAAUGUGGGGGAUCUUCGGACCUCACGCUAUCAGAUGAGCCUAGGUCGGAUUAGCUAGUUGGUGGGGUAAUGGCCCACCAAGGCGACGAUCCGUAACUGGUCUGAGAGGAUGAUCAGUCACACUGGAACUGAGACACGGUCCAGACUCCUACGGGAGGCAGCAGUGGGGAAUAUUGGACAAUGGGCGAAAGCCUGAUCCAGCCAUGCCGCGUGUGUGAAGAAGGUCUUCGGAUUGUAAAGCACUUUAAGUUGGGAGGAAGGGCAGUAAGUUAAUACCUUGCUGUUUUGACGUUACCAACAGAAUAAGCACCGGCUAACUUCGUGCCAGCAGCCGCGGUAAUACGAAGGGUGCAAGCGUUAAUCGGAAUUACUGGGCGUAAAGCGCGCGUAGGUGGUUCAGCAAGUUGGAUGUAAAAGCCCCGGGCUCAACCUGGGAAUUGCAUCCAAAACUACUGAGCUAGAGUACGGUAGAGGGUGGUGGAAUUUCCUGUGUAGCGGUGAAAUGCGUAGAUAUAGGAAGGAACACCAGUGGCGAAGGCGACCACCUGGACUGAUACUGACACUGAGGUGCGAAAGCGUGGGGAGCAAACAGGAUUAGAUACCCUGGUAGUCCACGCCGUAAACGAUGUCGACUAGCCGUUGGGAUCCUUGAGAUCUUAGUGGCCGCAGCUAACGCGAUAAGUCGACCGUCGUGGUGGAGUACCGCUCGCAAGGUUAAAACUCAAAUGUAUUUGACGGGGGCUCGCACAAGCGGUGGAGCAUGUGUUUCACUUCGAAGCAAC
rnacentral:rRNA from 1 species